rnacentral:rRNA from 1 species
CGGGGUGAGUAAUGCUUGGGAAUCUGGCUUAUGGAGGGGGGUAACUACGGGAAACUGUAGCUAAUACCGCGUAGUGUCGAGAGACGAAAGUGCGGGACCGAAAGGCCGCAUGCCAUGAGAUGAGCCCAAGUGGGAUUAGGUAGUUGGUGGGGUAAAGGCCUACCAAGCCUGCGAUCUCUAGCUGGUCUGAGAGGAUGGCCAGCCACACUGGAACUGAGACACGGUCCAG